rfam:Gossypium hirsutum cultivar TM-1 chromosome 19, whole genome shotgun sequence
CACGUCAGAGUGCUUUGCUGACGUGGACACAAAUUGCGCUUUAGAGGACGCGAUUUGUUGCCAUGUCAGCAAAGCGCUCUGACGUGG